rnacentral:rRNA from 1 species
GACUACCAGGGUAUCUAAGCCCAUUCGCUACCCACGCUUUCGUGCCUCAGCGUCAGAAUCGUUUUAGCAAGCUGUCUUCACAUUUGGUGUUCUUGCUGAUAUUAACGGAUUUAACCCCUACACCAGCAAUUCCGCUUGCCUCCCCCGAUCUCUAGUCUAUCCAUCUCUUCCGCGGCCACAGAGUUGAGCUCCAUGAUUUAACAGAAGAUGUGAUAAACCGCCUACGCACCCUUUACGCCCAGUAAAUCCGGAUAACGCUAGGGGCCCUCGUAUUACCGCUGCUGCUGGCACGAGGUUAGCAGCCCCUUAUUCAUUAGGUACUGUCAUUGAUUCAUCCCUAAUAAAAGCACUUUACACCCCGAGGGGCGUCAUCAUGCACGCGGCGUCGCUCCUUCAGGCUUUCGCCCAUUGAGGAAGAUUCCUUACUGCAGCCCCCCGUAGG